AGCAGCAGCCGCGGGAACACGUAGGUGGCGAGCGUUGUCCGGAAUUAUUGGGCGUAAAGGGAGCGCAGGCGGACAUAUAAGUCCAUCUUAAAAGUGCGGGGCUCAACCCCGUGAGGGGAUGGAAACUGUAUGCCUUGAGUGCAGGAGAGGAAAGCGGAAUUCCCAGUGUAGCGGUGAAAUGCGUAGAUAUUGGGAGGAACACCAGUGGCGAAGGCGGCUUUCUGGACUGUAACUGACACUGAGGCGCGAAAGCGUGGGGAGCAAACAGGAUUAGAUACCCCAGUAGUCCCUGUCUCUUAUACA
rnacentral:rRNA from 1 species